AGUUCAAGCGGUAGGAGAGCGUCGUAACCGGGCUGAAGUCGUACCGUAAGGAGCGGUGGACUGGUUACGAGUGAGAAUGUUGGCAUCAGUAGCGAGAUGUGGGUGAGAAUCCCACAGGCCGAAAACCUAAGGUUUCCUCAGGAAGGUUCGUCCGCUGAGGGUUAGUCGGGACCUAAGCCGAGGCCGAAAGGCGUAGGUGAUGGACAACUGGUUGAUAUUCCAGUACCACUACCAUCGUUAUUAUCGAUGGCGUGACGCAGGAGGAUAGUGUGUGCUAGCUAUUGGAUGCUAGUCUAAGCGUUUAGGCAGUGAGAGUAGGCAAAUCCGCUCUCAUAAUGCUGAGGCGUGAUGGGGAAGGUUCUACGGAACCGAAGUACAUGAUUCCACGCUGCCAAGAAAAGCGUCUAGAGAGAGAAGUAGUGCCCGUACCGCAAACCGACACAGGUAGGUGAGGAGAGAAUCCUAAGGCCGGCGGAAGAAUUACAGUUAAGGAACUCGGCAAAUUGACCCCGUAAGUUCGCGAGAAGGGGUGCCUACGAGAGUAGGCCGCAGAGAAUAGGCCCAAGCAACUGUUUAGCAAAAACACAGGUCUCUGCUAAAGCGUAAGCUGAUGUAUAGGGGCUGACGCCUGCCCGGUGCUGGAAGGUUAAGGGGAACACUUAGCGCAAGCGAAGGUGUGAACUUAAGCCCCAGUAAACGGCGGCCGUAACUAUAACGGUCCUAAGGUAGCGAAAUUCCUUGUCAGGUAAGUUCUGACCCGCACGAAUGGCGUAAUGACUUGGGCACUGUCUCAACUGUAAAUCCGGCGAAGUUGUAGUGCGAGUGAAGAUGCUCGCUACCCGCGAUUGGACGGAAAGACCCCGUAGAGCUUUACUGUAGCUUAGCAUUGAGUUUUGGUAUUGUCUGUACAGGAUAGGUGGGAGACUAGGAAACCAGGGCGUCAGCCUUGGUGGAGUCAACCUUGGGAUACCACCCUGACAGUACUGAAAUUCUAACUGGCGGCCAUGAAUCUGGUCACAGGACAUUGUUAGGUGGGCAGUUUGACUGGGGCGGUCGCCUCCUAAAAAGUAACGGAGGCGCCCAAAGGUUCCCUCAGAACGGUCGGAAAUCGUUCGAAGAGUGCAAAGGCAGAAGGGAGCCUGACUGCGACACCCACAAGUGGAGCAGGGACGAAAGUCGGGCUUAGUGAUCCGGUGGUACCUCGUGGGAGGGCCAUCGCUCAACGGAUAAAAGCUACCUCGGGGAUAACAGGCUGAUCUCCCCCAAGAGUCCACAUCGACGGGGAGGUUUGGCACCUCGAUGUCGGCUCGUCGCAUCCUGGGGCUGAAGUAGGUCCCAAGGGUUGGGCUGUUCGCCCAUUAAAGCGGCACGCGAGCUGGGUUCAGAACGUCGUGAGACAGUUCGGUCCCUAUCCGUCGCGGGCGUAGGAAAUUUGAGAGGAGCUGUCCUUAGUACGAGAGGACCGGGAUGGACUGACCUCUGGUGUACCAGUUGUUCCGCCAGGAGCACAGCUGGGUAGCUAAGUCGGGAAUGGAUAAACGCUGAAAGCAUCUAAGCGUGAAGCCAACCUCAAGAUGAGAUUUCCCAUAGCGUAAGCUAGUAAGAUCCCUUGAAGAACACAAGGUUGAUAGGUCGGGGGUGUAAGCAUGGUAACAUGUUCAGCUGA
rnacentral:rRNA from 1 species